AAAUCCAGGAUCGUGUUGUUUGUUGUUGGAUGGAUGCCAUCCUGGCCCACUGCACUCACCGGGCUCUCUUCACCCCCAGCCCUGCCUGGUGCCCACCUGGGCUGGACGGCAGGUUUUCCAUUUCCAGAAUGUUACAGAAAAGGAAUCACGCCGUGCGUAACCCUGGGGACUGGCAUUUUUCAAGGAGUGUGGCUGCCUGGAGGCUCACCGGGUCGUCCCCUCGUUUCUAGGGCUGAGUAGCUGUCCGUGGUCUGGGCGCGUCUCAGCUGCCUUAUUGUUGAAGAGCAUCUGGCCUGUUCCUACACUUUGGCUGUUAUAAAUAAAACUGUCAUAAACA